rnacentral:tRNA from 1 species
UAUAUGUAGCUCAAUUGUAGAGUGCUUGCCUAGUACGUGUGAGGCCCUGGGUUCGAUCCUCAGCAUCAUAU